GAUGAACGCUGGCGGCGUGCCUAAUACAUGCAAGUCGAGCGAACGGACGAGAAGCUUGCUUCUCUGAUGUUAGCGGCGGACGGGUGAGUAACACGUGGAUAACCUACCUAUAAGACUGGGAUAACUUCGGGAAACCGGAGCUAAUACCGGAUGAUAUUUUGAACCGCAUGGUUCAAAAGUGAAAGACGGUCUUGCUGUCACUUAUAGAUGGAUCCGCGCUGCAUUAGCUAGUUGGUAAGGUAACGGCUUACCAAGGCAACGAUGCAUAGCCGACCUGAGAGGGUGAACGGCCACACUGGAACUGAGACACGGUCCAGACUCCUACGGGAGGCAGCGGUAGGGAAUCUUCCGCGAUGGGCGAAAGCCUGACGGAGCAACGCCGCGUGAGUGAUGAAGGUCUUCGGAUCGUAAAACUCUGUUAUUAGUGAAGAACAUAUGUGUAAGUAACUGUGCACAUCUUGACGGUACCUAAUCAGAAAGCCACGGCUAACUACGUG
rnacentral:rRNA from 1 species